AUGAUGUGAAGCAAGGGCACGGAUUUGGAAGGUGGCUGCCGCAGAGAGAGACGCUGCCGUUUUAGAGGGAUGUUGGAGGGGGCUAAAACUCUUUUGUUACUCAGGGGUGGCCAACCUAUCGUCCCAAUAUUGUGGGGCGCCGGAAGGACGUGGACGGGAAACGGGGAGGAGCCUAAGCCAGGAGGAGAGACGACCUAUAAAAGCCCGAAUUGAGGCGGACAGAGGAGAAUCGUGGUUCACGCGUAUACCAAGGCAGGCUGAGAGCGACUAAUCUGCAGGUAACUGACCCUUUUGGUGGGCGCGCGUGGACUGGCCGAGGACGUCUGCUGUGGGGGCCCCGUCGAAGGCCAUUUGGCUAUCGGCGAGUGUUGGGUCUAGUCGCUGCUGGAAAUUCGCCGGAGAAAUCGGCGUAGCAGGGCGGACACGGGUUUGUGGUCGAGCGAAGAAGGGAAGAUAUUGGCGUGAAGGCUAAUCUCCGAGUUCCAUCUAUUUUUUUCUGUGUGCUCUAAACUAUAAUUUUCGUCGAGGAAUUUAUUGAGGAUUUCCUGGCUCGGAGGACCCACUCAUAAAGGGAGAGUGUAGUUUUCGAAUUCUUGAGAACAUUAUUGGGAUUUUGAGUCAGUCUCGAAAUUUAUAUUCUUCUUUACGCAACAUUCUGGUGUCAGGUGUUUCAAACAUGCCAGUCGAAAAUGUAAAUCCUCUGCAGGGGAAUGCGGCUAUCGACGAGCAGCAGCAGCAGCAGCCGCAACCCCCACCCCAUCCACUUCAACAGCCCCCACAACAGUUUCAACCAGGUCAACAACCCCCACAAUUCCAUCCUCAAGGGGGGUGGGGAGGAGGCUAUGGGCCUCCAGGUGGGGCGUACCCCUUCAUGCCACCACCAGUAACACUGGAGAUGGUGCCUCGAUUUUCAGGAUCAGGUCAAGGCGCCUCGCUGGAGGACUUCCUCACAGCAAUGGAGGGGUAUAUGUCAUUUUACUCAC